UACAGAGGGUGCGAGCGUUGUUCGGAAUUAUUGGGCGUAAAGGGCGCGUAGGCGUUGCGGUAAGUCACCUGUGAAAUCUCCUGGCUCAACUGGGAGCUUGCAGGCGAAACUGCCGUGCUGGAGUGUGGGAGAGGUGCGUGGAAUUCCUGGUGUAGCGGUGAAAUGCGUAGAUAUCAGGAGGAACACCCGUGGCUAAGGCGGCUCUCUAGUACGGUACUGACGCUGAGACGCGAAAGCGUGGGGAGCGAACAGG
rnacentral:rRNA from 1 species